rnacentral:tRNA from 1 species
GAGAGGAUCGCCAAGACAAGCAUUGGUCGCUGAGCCGAGCCGAGCCGAGCCUAGGAUUUGCCGUGUGGGUGGGGAAAUCUUUCGCCCUGCGACGGGGCGGUAAUGGUCUGGAGUAUAAGCCAAUGGGGCUUUAAUCUCCAUCUUCUUU